rnacentral:rRNA from 1 species
GACGAACGCUGGCGGCGUGCUUAACACAUGCAAGUCGAACGGAAAGGCCCUGCUUUUGUGGGGUGCUCGAGUGGCGAACGGGUGAGUAACACGUGAGUAACCUGCCCUUGACUUUGGGAUAACUUCAGGAAACUGGGGCUAAUACCGGAUAGGAGCUCCUGCUGCAUGGUGGGGGUUGGAAAGUUUCGGCGGUUGGGGAUGGACUCGCGGCUUAUCAGCUUGUAGGGGGGGUAGUGGCUUACCAAGGCUUUGACGGGUAGCCGGCCUGAGAGGGUGACCGGCCACAUUGGGACUGAGAUACGGCCCAGACUCCUACGGGAGGCAGCAGUGGGGAAUAUUGCACAAUGGGCGGAAGCCUGAUGCAGCAACGCCGCGUGCGGGAUGACGGCCUUCGGGUUGUAAACCGCUUUCGCCUGUGACGAAGCGUGAGUGACGGUAAUGGGUAAAGAAGCACCGGCUAACUACGUG